rnacentral:rRNA from 1 species
GAUGAACGCUGGCGGCGUGCCUAACACAUGCAAGUCGAGCGAUUUACUUCGGUAAAGAGCGGCGGACGGGUGAGUAACGCGUGGGUAACCUGCCCUGUACACACGGCUAACAUACCGAAAGGUAUGCUAAUACGAGAUAAUAUGUUUUUAUCGCAUGGUUGAAGUAUCAAAGCUAUUGAUGUACAGGGGGUACCCGGGUCGGUUUAGCUAGUUCGUGAGGUAAUGGCCUACUAAGGCGACGAUCAGUAGCCGAGCUGAGAGAGUGAUCGGCCACAUUGGAAGUGGGACGCAGUCGAAAAUCUUACGGGAGGGAGGAGUGGUGGAUAGUGCACAAUGGGGUGAAGCCUGAUGGACCAACGCCGCUAGAGCGAUGAAAUCCUUCAGGUCGUAAAGCUCUAUCAUCUAGGAAGAUAAUGACGGUACUUAAGGAGGAAGCCCCGGCUAACUACGUG